CAGAGAGGGUAACCAGGGGGGAAGGGGGGGGGGCUAAUAUUUGUCUCACAAACUAUCCAAUGGCUUUACCUCAAUGGAAAACCGUCCAUUUAAUCUGUUCAGAAGCAGUUGACACAGGUCACAGUUCCAAACAAUGUGAAGGGAAAAAGAGAAACAAGAGAAAUCUGGAUCUAUACCUGAAGGGACACGUGCUGGUGUAUGUGGAUGUCAUUAGGAAGAUUCGGGAUUUUUGUUGUGUCCUUCAACUCACUGAACUGGAGAUAAUUUUUGAAAUUUGGAAAUCAAUGUGAUUGGAAAAGUUACUGAGACAUGUCAGCAAAAGCCAUUGGACCCCCAUCUCCUCCUCCAGAUUUAUUCCAAUAACUGCAUCACGUACUCUCAACGUGAGUACAAGGGGGAGACAAAGCAUUUGUAACAUGGGGAACUGAUUAAGGCUGUUCAGCCAUCGGGUGAGAUCGCGCAAGUGGCUGAGGCACUCGAACAGGCACUUUGGUGAUGCCCCCAAAAACUCAAUGGCGUAUCGACUUUUUCGGAACAAUGGAGUUGAGGAAUCGGACGAAGAUGAUUAUAGGGGUGCGCUAAGAUCCAAAAAUUUCGAGGUAAAGCUGACAGGUGGGUGGAGUCCACGGCAAUACUUGGCUGAACACACCUCAGGCCACACCUACUAUCGAUCAGUGCUCCUUCAUAUUUUUUUCUUUACAACCUGCCGGGUAUUACUACAGCUGCUGUUUCAAGGAUACAAUUGUACAAUUGUUGAAGACAUGUGGGAAAAGAUAAACGAAUGGAGACAACUGGGAAAUUACUUUCGAUUCGACGGUAAUGGCUGAGUGGUUAAGGCAUUAGGCUGAUGUAACGAGAAUCGUGGGUUCGAUUCCCGGCCGAUGCUCAAAUUUUCGAAGGUCGUCUCUAAUUUGUCGAUCCCGUUGUCGACUGAGUGGAAGUAUCGUAAAGGAGACGAAAGAGCGGGGACUCUACCUGACCAAAGGUUUCUCCCCUUCGCGUAGUUUCUUCGUCCAUAGUAAAUGCUAUGCAAGCGAUGAGGAGAGGGGAGAGGAAAUAAAAACAAAUAAUAAAAAUAAAAAACAA